rnacentral:rRNA from 1 species
GUUCUUGACCAUUUGACCUCAAAUCAGGUAGGGUUACCCGCUGAACUUAAGCAUAUCAAUAAGCGGAGGAA